rnacentral:rRNA from 1 species
CCUACGGGAGGCAGCAGUGGGGAAUUUUGGACAAUGGGCGAAAGCCUGAUCCAGCAAUGCCGCGUGAGUGAAGAAGGCCUUCGGGUUGUAAAGCUCUUUUGUCAGGGAAGAAACGGUGCGGGCUAAUAUCCUGCACUAAUGACGGUACCUGAAGAAUAAGCACCGGCUAACUACGUGCCAGCAGCCGCGGUAAUACGUAGGGUGCAAGCGUUAAUCGGAAUUACUGGGCGUAAGGCGUGCGCAGGCGGUUUUGUAAGUCUGUCGUGAAAUCCCCGGGCUCAACCUGGGAAUUGCGAUGGAGACUGCAAGGCUAGAAUCUGGCAGAGGGGGGUAGAAUUCCACGUGUAGCAGUGAAAUGCGUAGAGAUGUGGAGGAACACCGAUGGCGAAGGCAGCCCCCUGGGUCAAGAUUGACGCUCAUGCACGAAAGCGUAGGGGAGCAAACAGGAUUAGAUACCCUGGUAGUCCACGCCCUAAACGAUGUCUACUAGUUGUCGGGUUUUAAUUAACUUGGUAACGCAGCUAACGCGUGAAGUAGACCGCCUGGGGAGUACGGUCGCAAGAUUAAAACUUCAAAGGAAUUGACGGCUUGAGAGNGCGAGAGACGACGAGGAGAGG